rnacentral:rRNA from 1 species
UACGGAGGGUGCGAGCGUUGUCCGGAAUCACUGGGCGUAAAGGGCGCGUAGGUGGCUUCUCAAGCGCGCGGUGAAAGCCCGGGGCUCAACCCCGGGUCGGCCGUGCGGACUGGGAGGCUCGAGCACUGUAGGGGCGGGUGGAAUUCCGGGUGUAGCGGUGGAAUGCGUAGAGAUCCGGAAGAACACCGGUGGCGAAGGCGGCCCGCUGGGCAGGAAGGCUCGCAAGAGCCGGCUGACACUGAGGCGCGACAGCGUGGGGAGCAAACAGG